rnacentral:rRNA from 1 species
GACAGAGGCCCCAAGCGUUAGGCGGAAUCACUGGGCUUAAAGCGUGUGUAGGCGGAUCGUUAAGUGUCUUGUGAAAUCCCACGGCUCACCCGUGGAACUGCUGGGCAUACUGGCGAUCUUGGGCCAACUAGGGGCAGUCGGAACAAGCGGUGGAGCGGUGAAAUGCGUAGAUAUCAUCUGGAACGCCAAUGGUGAAAACAGCUCGCUGGGGGUUUGCGAGAUCGCUGAGACACGGAA